AGUGAACGCUGGCGGUAGGCCUAACACAUGCAAGUCGAACGGCAGCACAGUAAGAGCUUGCUCUUACGGGUGGCGAGUGGCGGACGGGUGAGGAAUACAUCGGAAUCUACUUUUUCGUGGGGGAUAACGUAGGGAAACUUACGCUAAUACCGCAUACGACCUACGGGUGAAAGCAGGGGAUCUUCGGACCUUGCGCGAUUGAAUGAGCCGAUGUCGGAUUAGCUAGUUGGCGGGGUAAAGGCCCGCCAAGGCGACGAUCCGUAGCUGGUCUGAGAGGAUGAUCAGCCACCGUGGAACGAGGAAGAGGCCCCACAUCGGGAGGGAGGCAGGGGGGGGAAUUAUAGGGGAGGGGGCGGAGGGGGGUACCACCCAAACGGGGGGGGUGAAAAGGGGCUGCGGGUUGUAAGGCCCUUUUUUUGGAGAAAAAAAAAGCCCGGUUAACACCCCAGUUUUUGGCAGGACCCGAAAAAAAAGCCCCGGCUAAAUUCGGG
rnacentral:rRNA from 1 species